UGGAAUCAAAAGAGCACCUGACAGCAAACAUUGAUUGUACUUUGGAACCUGAACCAGUAUGAAAGCUACUUGUUCAGUGGGACCAACUUACCUCUGGGCAGGAACCAAGUCCCUAAAAGAGCUUAAAUUUCAAUUUUGCAAAAGACGUACUGUGGGUAAAAUGGCAGAGCCAGCAUAUGUCUCCCCGUGUUCAUAUGACUCUUCCCGUAUCGACGCUAUGCAAAAUGAAUCACUGUUGCAUUACUGGAGACUGCAUGCUCUUCAUGGUCCUACUGCCACCGCCGAAAAAGUCGUCGGUGCCGACCACUGUAACUUAAAAAUGGAUGAAGAUGGCGUCGACUUGCAUGUUGCACACUGACCUGAUGUAGUCAUUAGGAGAAUGUCGAUGUCCUUGUAAAUUUGUAUAUGACCUUAUGUGACGCCCGUUUGCCCAAGUCUCACAUGUGCGGCAUCAAGUCGGUUUUGUUGUCCUUUGCGACGCUGCUUUUUAAGCUAUUGCCGCCUUCAAUGUUGUCACUAUGGUCACUCAUCUGCCCACUUACUCCACGCUUUUCUCGUCUUAUUUUAUCCUCCCCUUAGCCACGUCGUUUUUUCCAAAACACUUACUGGUCCAUCUUUUCGAUGGGCCGUCAAAACUAUACUGGUAAGCAAACCCGCGAACUGAACACCGUCUCCAAUAGUGUGGAAACCAAGGCGAAUGAAGUUAUCAUGGUUGAUGUUAACAAUCCCUACGUCUUUAACGACACAGACGACCGUUAUCGGAUUUAGGAUUUUGUUCAGGAUCUAGGUUUAAGGUUGACCUUUUGUAAUAUGAU